AGUUCCAACCUCUUCAAACAGUGCUCUGUACUCCUGCAAGACACCGAAGGGAGGGUAUUUGCCACAGAUCAAAAGGAUUUCUACCAAUCGGACACAUGAUAUCUUCGGUCGUCCCUCCCUGGACUUUGCAGAAGUUGUAGAAAGCCUCUAGGUGGCAAGAGGACAUCCAAGAUGAAAUGGCAGAUAUAUGUUCAGUAACGUGACUCAUCAUACAUGGCAAUAAAUAAUCCAAAAAUUAUAGAUACAUCUUGGUAACCUCCAUGUUCAGAUAAUACAGAAAACCAAAGGCUCUCUCAGGACAUCAGUAACCCACAGCUCACAGGAACCAGACAACAGUGGGUUUUAUUUCCACACUGGACAAGUCUUUGAAUGAGGAAUACUUGAUAUAGACAGAUCCCUAUGCAACGUGGUGAAAAGCGCAAGUGGAUGACAGGCUCAGGUCCAGUUCUACUAUUCCGAAACACAAGGAGCGUGGACGCAAGGAAGACAUCUUCAAUGAAUGACUGUCCUAGAAAAUCAUUAAGGCUCUGUAUUGACACAUAGGAAUAAGCAGUAGAGACAAAUGCUGAAAACAGGAUUGUCCCGGGGAAACCUGAUGAUGUAGGAACUAGGAACGUGAGAAGUGAAGGAACUUGAAAAGGCA